rnacentral:rRNA from 1 species
AUUGAACGCUGGCGGCAUGCUUUACACAUGCAAGUCGGACGAGUGGCGAACGGGUGAGUAACGCAUCGGAACGUACCGAGUAAUGGGGGAUAACUGCUCGAAAGGACAGCUAAUACCGCAUAUUAUUCGAGCGGCCGAGGUGGGAUUAGCUGGUUGGGGGGGUAAAGGCCCACCAAGGCGACGAUCCGUAGCGGGUCUGAGAGGAUGAUCAGCCACACUGGGACUGAGACACGGCCCAGACUCCUACGGGAGGCAGCAGUGGGGAAUUUUGCACAAUGGGCGCAAGCCUGAUCCAGCCAUGCCGCGUGUCUGAAGAAGGCCUUCGGGUUGUAAAGGACUUUUAUCAGGGAAGCGUUACCUGAAGAAUAAGCACCGGCUAACUACGUGCCAGCAGCCGCGGUAAUAC